GACGAACGCUGGCGGCGUGCUUAACACAUGCAAGUCGAACGGAAAGGCCCUGCUUUUGUGGGGUGCUCGAGUGGCGAACGGGUGAGUAACACGUGAGUAACCUGCCCUUGACUUUGGGAUAACUUCAGGAAACUGGGGCUAAUACCGGAUAGGAGCUCCUGCUGCAUGGUGGGGGUUGGAAAGUUUCGGCGGUUGGGGAUGGACUCGCGGCUUAUCAGCUUGUUGGUGGGGUAGUGGCUUACCAAGGCUUUGACGGGUAGCCGGCCUGAGAGGGUGACCGGCCACAUUGGGACUGAGAUACGGCCCAGACUCCUACGGGAGGCAGCAGUGGGGAAUAUUGCACGAUGGGCGGAAGCCUGAUGCGGCAACGCCGCGUGCGGGAUGACGGCCUUCGGGUUGUAAACCGCUUUCGCCUGUGACGAAGCGUGAGUGACGGUAAUGGGUAAAGAAGCACCGGCUAACUACGUG
rnacentral:rRNA from 1 species